AUUAUUAUUAUUAUUAUUAUUAUUACUAUUAUUAUUAUUAUUAUUAUUAGUAUUACUAUCGUUAAUCAUAAAAAGCUCCUCUUUUUUUUUAUUUCCUAUAAAUGUCAAGAUUAAUUGUUAUAUGCAUAAGUGUAUACAUACGCACUUGUUAGAGAGAGAGAGAGAGAGAGAGAGAGUGAGAGAGAGAGAGGGAGGGAAAGAGAAAGAAAGACAGAGGUGAAAAAUGAAAAAGAAGAAAAUGAAAAAAAAGAAAAAAAAAAGAAAAAAAAGUACAGAUUCUUAAACUCUAUUUAACAUCUUAUUGUGAUGUGACACUAAAUAAAUAAAAAAUAAAAAAUAAUUGUAUCGUGUGUGUGAGAGAAUCGACGCGAAGAAUUUUUCAACUACAUAUCAGUGUCGCGAGUGAUUGAAAAAUAUCGAUUCAAGUAUUAUUACCAUCCACUAUAAACGUUAUGAACGUUAUAUAAAUUACCAUUGACAGUGGAUCUUAUUGCCUUUUAAUUUUGUUGAACUUGAGAACACGGAUCAGCUUUGUAUAAUAAGAAUACUAUCAACGUGAUGUCAUGAUAAUAUUUCUAUCACAAAUACAUACCAUAUUAAUCACAUA